rnacentral:rRNA from 1 species
UGGGGAAUCUUCCGCAAUGGACGAAAGUCUGACGGAGCAACGCCGCGUGAGUGAUGACGGCCUUCGGGUUGUAAAGCUCUGUUAAUCGGGACGAAAGGCCUUCUUGCGAAUAGUUAGAAGGAUUGACGGUACCGGAAUAGAAAGCCACGGCUAACUACGUGCCAGCAGCCGCGGUAAUACGUAGGUGGCAAGCGUUGUCCGGAAUUAUUGGGCGUAAAGCGCGCGCAGGCGGAUUGGUCAGUCUGUCUUAAAAGUUCGGGGCUUAACCCCGUGAUGGGAUGGAAACUGCCAAUCUAGAGUAUCGGAGAGGAAAGUGGAAUUCCUAGUGUAGCGGUGAAAUGCGUAGAUAUUAGGAAGAACACCAGUGGCGAAGGCGACUUUCUGGACGAAAACUGACGCUGAGGCGCGAAAGCCAGGGGAGCGAACGGGAUUAGAUACCCCGGUAGUCCUGGCCGUCAACUAUGNGUACUAGGUGUAGGAGGUAUCGACCCCUUCUGUGCCGGAGUUAACGCAAUAAGUACCCCGCCUGGGGAGUACGACCGCAAGGUUG